AUUGAACGCUGGCGGCAGGCCUAACACAUGCAAGUCGAGCGGAUGAAGGGAGCUUGCUCCUGGAUUCAGCGGCGGACGGGUGAGUAAUGCCUAGGAAUCUGCCUGGUAGUGGGGGAUAACGUCCGGAAACGGGCGCUAAUACCGCCUACGUCCUGAGGGAGCAAGUUGGGGGUCUUCGGCCUGCUGGCAUGCAGAGGGCCUUGGUAGGGUUAGGCUGGUGGGUGGGUGAAGGGCUGGCAAAGCCACGAAUCGUAACUAGACCGGGAGGGUGAACAGUCACGCAGUAACUGAGACACUGUUCAGACUCCGACGGGAGGCAGGAGUGGGGAAUGUAGGACAAUGGGCGAAAGCCUGAACCAGCCGUGCCGCGUGUAUGAAGAAGGUCUUCGGAUUGUAGAGCACUUUACGUUGGGUGGAAGGGCAGUAAGUUAAUACCUGCCUGUUUGGACGUAACCAGCAGAAUAAGCACCGGCUAACUUCGU
rnacentral:rRNA from 1 species